AGCGAACGCUGGCGGCAGGCCUAACACAUGCAAGUCGAACGAAGUCUUCGGACUUAGUGGCGGACGGGUGAGUAACACGUGGGAACGUGCCUUUAGGUUCGGAAUAACUCAGGGAAACUUGUGCUAAUACCGAAUGUGCCCUUCGGGGGAAAGGUUUAUCGCCUUUAGAGCGGCCCGCGUCUGAUUAGCUAGUUGGUGAGGUAAAGGCUCACCAAGGCUACGAUCAGUAGCUGGUCUGAGAGGAUGACCAGCCACAUUGGGACUGAGACACGGCCCAAACUCCUACGGGAGGCAGCAGUGGGGAAUCUUGCGCAAUGGGCGAAAGCCUGACGCAGCCAUGCCGCGUGGAUAAUGAAGGUCUUAGGAUUGUAAAAUCCUUUCACCGGUGAAGAUAAUGACUGUAGCCGGAGAAGAAGCCCCGGCUAACUUCGUGCCAGCAGCCGCCGUAAAAC
rnacentral:rRNA from 1 species